AUGGGGGUGGGUUUUCCUGAAUAACUCGAAAAUAGUUGCCAACCUCAUGGUACUCUCCAUUUAAACGAUUCAAUUGUGGUCCGAACAACUUCUGCUCCCAGUAGUGCAGUAAGUGACAAGCUAGCUGGUGCACUAACCGGCUCUGCAACUCCACGCUUCAUCAGUUCAUGCAACAAGACGUAGUUCGGAUGCACUCGCCGGUGUUCGUGUGGAAGACUCAACUAUGACUCAACUGUUGUCUCACAGUAUCACAAACACUCACCUUUCGUCUCGUCGGUGGGGUUGGGGGUGUGCAGGAGCCGACCCCAGCUGACUUGAGCACUUUUCCCCUGACUAAGGACACUGUUGAAGAUUUUGUCGGUUGAAUUUUCACCCGAUGGCAGGCUGGUUGGGACAUUUUCCUCACAGUGGAAUUAGCAUGCUCCGUGUAAGUUUUCUCU